GGAAAACAAAAAGCACUUUUUUCUUAAUGGUAGCAGUAUAAUGUAUUUUGCAACGAAUUUGUAAUUUUUCUGUACGAUAGUUUUGAUAAUUUAUAGUACUUUGAUGUCAUGUAGCCAUUGUAUCAGUUGAAGUAAUACUUGUUUACUAGCAGGAGUUUGAACAAAGCCUUUCCUACUUUUUUAUCCCUUUAAGAGAACCAAUGAUUCUUUAGGAACUUUGAAUACUGAAUGACUCUCAAUCACCGUCAGCUUUAGUAAAAUAUCUUUCUUAUCCUAACAAGUGUCUUAUUUGAUGGAAGAAGAAUUAAGAGUGAUGGUGAUAGUGUGCACGUUUCAUUAAUCCAACCAAAAAUAAUGAAAUAAAAUUUGAGCCACAGUAUACCACUCCUUGGGAUAAACCUAAAUAUUUUUAAAAAUCACGUUUUCCGUCAACGCCUCUAGUAGCAAACCAUUUUUUGCACACCACAAUGUUUCCCUCAGUGCCCUUUCUCAAAUGGGUACAAUGUUCCCUUGUGGCCAAAUUUCCCUCCCAGGGAGCAAUUUCAGUGCUAGGAUCAUUGGACUCAGUUCCCAAAAUAGAAUGUUUCAGUGAGACCGUGAGAAUUCCAGGCUCACAAAGGGAAAGGAGAGAACAGGGCAAGACGUUUGGUUUCGUUCGUCACCAUUUUUAAAACUCUGUAUGCUAGCACACCAAACUCUUGUCUGUAUUUACCUUUGUACCACAGUAUUAAUCGCUAUUGUUCAUGUAUCGUGCUGGAAGUCUGAACUGACUCUAGAGGACGAAUUAGCAAGAGGGUAUUUUACCAGGUAUGAUCUGACUUCGGUUGUGCCCAUGUUAUAAUGUGUUUCCGACAUAGGAGAGUCGUGCUGCUGUCUAGAUCUUCUUGAAUGUUGAUAAAAUGAAUGACUACUACAAUACAUUUUGUGUUGCUUGUUGGAUGAAUUUGCAUGUUAAUUGUAGGCCAAUAUAGAUUUGCCUUUAAAACUCUGGAAGAGCUACAUAGUCAUCAUUAGUUUCUAUUAAUUAUGCAUCAGACAAAAGCCAUUUGUUACCAAACUGGAAAAACAGAGGCUUUUCUUAACUAUUUCAUAUACUGUAACAAAUAUGAAUUUAAAUUUGUGAUAGCGCUCUCGUUGCUCUAAGCAUAAUUAAGAACUUUUGUAAUUACUAGGUUGCUAAUUAUUUAUUACUGCUAAAAAGGAAAAAAAGGCAUAAAAUGACCUUCUACUGAUUAGAUUUUCAGUUUUCCUUCAAACUGGAAAUGCCUCCAUAAAUAGGAUCUAUGAUUUUGCUUCAUAAAACACAGCAAAUCAAUGUUUUAUGUAAAAUAUUAAAGUAUUAAUAUAAAUAUGCGAGAAUAAAAACAAUCUAAAUCCAGAAAAUUGCAGUCCUAAAUGUUCAUGAGACAGAUUGUAUUAAUUUAACCAGGACUAUGUAGAAGUAGAAAGAAAAGAAAAAGAAAAUCUUUUUUAAACCAGAACAAAUAUUAAAAAUUAUUGCAGAAAAUAGUGGAUUUUGGAUUCCAAACAUUUUCGACAGUGUAAUGGAAAUUUUUCUGUAAUUUUCUUACCAUCAGGUAUUUUUUAAAGUUCAUUGAGUUUACCAAAAGUUACUGUAGCUUAAAAGGUUUUGUGAGCACUAACUAUUGGCAGAAACUGCAUUUGCAAAUAAAAAUAAAUGUUUGCCUUUUCCCCA
rnacentral:lncRNA from 1 species